rnacentral:rRNA from 1 species
GCAUGUUUUUGACAUUUGAAAAAUGGACUGCUCAGUAAUACUCACUUUAUUUUAUGUAAAUUUUUAAUUAACUACGUUAAAGUGUAGAUAAGAUGUUUACAGUAAGAGUGAGACCUAUCAGCUAGUUGUUAAGGUAAUGGCUUAACAAGGCUGUGACGGGUAACGGUAUUACUUUGUAAUAUUCCGGAGAAGGAGCCUGAGAGACGGCUACUAAGUCUAAGGAUUGCAGCAGGGGCGAAACUUGACCUAUGGAUUUUAUCUGAGGCAGUUAUGGGAAGUAAUAUUAUAUUGUUUCAUAUUUUAAAAGUAUAUGAGGUGAUUAAUUGGAGGGCAAAUCAAGUGCCAGCAGCCGCGGUAAUACUUGUUCCAAGAGUGUGUAUGAUGAUUGAUGCAGUUAAAAAGUCCGUAGUUUAUUUUUUUAAGAAGCAAUAUGAGGUGUACUGUAUAGUUGGGAGAAAGAUGAAAUGUGACGACCCUGACUGGACGAACAGAAGCGAAAGCUGUACACUUGUAUGUAUUUUUUGAACAAGGACGUAAGCUGGAGGAGCGAAGAUGAUUAGAUACCACUGUAGUUCCAGCAGUAAACUAUGCCGACGAUGUGAUAUGAAAAUGUUAAUUUGUAUUACAUAAUAGAAAUUUGAGUUUUUUGGCUCUGGGGAUAGUAUGAUCGCAAGAUUGAAAAUUAAAGAAAUUGACGGAAGAAUACCACAAGGAGUGGAUUGUGCGGCUUAAUUUGACUCAACGC